AGGAGCUUGCUCCUUUGACGUUAGCGGCGGACGGGUGAGUAACACGUGGGUAACCUACCUAUAAGACUGGGAUAACUUCGGGAAACCGGAGCUAAUACCGGAUAAUAUUUCGAACCGCAUGGUUCGAUAGUGAAAGAUGGUUUUGCUAUCACUUAUAGAUGGACCCGCGCCGUAUUAGCUAGUUGGUAAGGUAACGGCUUACCAAGGCGACGAUACGUAGCCGACCUGAGAGGGUGAUCGGCCACACUGGAACUGAGACACGGUCCAGACUCCUACGGGAGGCAGCAGUAGGGAAUCUUCCGCAAUGGGCGAAAGCCUGACGGAGCAACGCCGCGUGAGUGAUGAAGGUCUUCGGAUCGUAAAACUCUGUUAUUAGGGAAGAACAUACGUGUAAGUAACUAUGCACGUCUUGACGGUACCUAAUCAGAAAGCCACGGCUAACUACGUGCCAGCAGCCGCGGUAAUACGUAGGUGGCAAGCGUUAUCCGGAAUUAUUGGGCGUAAAGCGCGCGUAGGCGGUUUUUUAAGUCUGAUGUGAAAGCCCACGGCUCAACCGUGGAGGGUCAUUGGAAACUGGAAAACUUGAGUGCAGAAGAGGAAAGUGGAAUUCCAUGUGUAGCGGUGAAAUGCGCAGAGAUAUGGAGGAACACCAGUGGCGAAGGCGACUUUCUGGUCUGUAACUGACGCUGAUGUGCGAAAGCGUGGGGAUCAAACAGGAUUAGAUACCCUGGUAGUCCACGCCGUAAACGAUGAGUGCUAAGUGUUAGGGGGUUUCCGCCCCUUAGUGCUGCAGCUAACGCAUUAAGCACUCCGCCUGGGGGAGUACGACCGCAAGGUUGAAACUCAAAGGAAUUGACGGGGACCCGCACAAGCGGUGGAGCAUGUGGGUUUAAUUCGAAGCAACGCGAAGAACCUUACCAAAUCUUGACAUCCUUUGACAACUCUAGAGAUAGAGCCUUCCCCUUCGGGGGACAAAGUGACAGGUGGUGCAUGGUUGUCGUCAGCUCGUGUCGUGAGAUGUUGGGUUAAGUCCCGCAACGAGCGCAACCCUUAAGCUUAGUUGCCAUCAUUAAGUUGGGCACUCUAAGUUGACUGCCGGUGACAAACCGGAGGAAGGUGGGGAUGACGUCAAAUCAUCAUGCCCCUUAUGAUUUGGGCUACACACGUGCUACAAUGGACAAUACAAAGGGCAGCGAAACCGCGAGGUCAAGCAAAUCCCAUAAAGUUGUUCUCAGUUCGGAUUGUAGUCUGCAACUCGACUACAUGAAGCUGGAAUCGCUAGUAAUCGUAGAUCAGCAUGCUACGGUGAAUACGUUCCCGGGUCUUGUACACACCGCCCGUCACACCACGAGAGUUUGUAACACCCGAAGCCGGUGGAGUAACCAU
rnacentral:rRNA from 1 species